rnacentral:rRNA from 1 species
AUGACUCCAACUCCAAGACCCACAAGUACAAACAUUGAGAGGGUUUCAGACCUCAUAGACACGCGGAGUUGGUCUUGGAAGAUCGAGCUGAUCAAGGAUAAUUUCACGGCUCAAGAUGCCGCGGCCAUACUUAAUAUUCCUAUCAGGCAAGGCGGUGGUGAUGAUUUUCUUGCUUGGGCUUUUGACAUAUCAGGUAACUACACUGUAAAGACGGCGUACCGUGUUCUCGUGACUCAGAACGAGCGUUUGGCUCUAGAGGAAGGGACGGCUACCGAAACCUCAUCGGAUGAGCAACAAUUGUGGAAAUCCUUAUGGAAGCUGAAUGUUAUCCCAAAAGUAAGAGUGUUC